rnacentral:rRNA from 1 species
UACAGAGGUGGCAAGCGUUGUUCGGAAUUACUGGGCGUAAAGGGCGCGUAGGCGGUUCGACAAGUCCCGCGUGAAAGCCCCCGGCUCAACUGGGGAACGGCGCGGGAAACUGUCGGGCUUGAGUUCGGGAGAGGGAAGCGGAAUUCCGGGUGUAGCGGUGAAAUGCGUAGAUAUCUGGAGGAAUACCGGUGGCGAAGGCGGCAUCCUGGACCGAGAUUGACGCUGAUGAGCGAAAGCUAGGGGAGCAAACGGG